UACGAAGGGGGCAAGCGUUGUUCGGAAUUACUGGGCGUAAAGGGCGCGUAGGCGGCUUAUCAAGUCAGGCGUGAAAUUCCCGGGCUCAACCUGGGGGCUGCGCUUGAUACUGAUGAGCUUGAAUGCGGGAGAGGAUAGUGGAAUUCCCAGUGUAGAGGUGAAAUUCGUAGAUAUUGGGAAGAACACCGAUGGCGAAGGCAGCCAUCUGGACCGACACUGACGCUGAGGCGCGAAAGCGUGGGGAGCAAACAGG
rnacentral:rRNA from 1 species